GGUCGGGGUCAACGGCUGCUCUUUCUAGCUAAGUAGGUCGACCCCAUUUAAGCCUCAGUCCCGGUUAGCGUCUCUCUGACUGAGAGGAAACUUCUUUCAGUCUCGAGUAGGUCUGACCUGCCUCUUUGUUGGCUACGCAGUCUCAGAAGCCUGCCCAUUUACUUUGCAAACCGGACAGUGAACAAAUGCAUCAAAAUUAAAUUUGGAAAACAGUUUCUAAACAGCCUUCAGUGUUUACAACAACUUCUGGACUUGGUACUAGCAACCCUUACUAAUGCUGUAAUCAGAAGUGCUUUAUCACAUCAAGUGAC
rnacentral:lncRNA from 1 species